ACUUAUAAUUAAAAAUUAGAAGUAUUCAUUUUAUUCAGCACCCAUUAAUAUUAUAUUUGAAACUGAUUUACCAUUGCUGGUAUUUCUGAAUUGUAAUCGAUUGCGGCUAGAGGUAAUCUCUCUUGCCCAUUUUAGGCUGCCGCCGGAGCGAAGCGGAGCGGAUGGUGGAAAUGAAGCAGAUGGAGCAAGCCAAGAUCCAGUUGGACAUGUAGCUGGAGUGGGAGCAGGAGCUGGAGCAGGAGCAGGACCAGGAGCAGGAGCUGGAGCGCCGAAAAGCUGGCAAGUCAUGAACUGUGACAAAAGGAUUACAAGAAGGAUUCUGGCGGAGCUGGUUUCGUGGCUCUGGCCAGUGCAGUUUAUAGGUUAAAUGAGAUUAAUUCCGAGAUUAAGCAGGACACAACAAUGGUCGCCGCAGGGAUCUGGAUGUCCUUUACCCGUGUGUGUGUGGUGUGCAUGUGUGUGCUAACACCCCUUCACACUUAUCCUGUCUGGUGGCUUUCAAUUCAUUCGCUCGCCUGUCGAUUUAGUCAACGUGCAAAUUUAUUAGAUUAACAGCAAAUAUCAAAUAGGAAAUUAA
rnacentral:sRNA from 1 species